rnacentral:rRNA from 1 species
UUUGAUUCUGGCUCAGAUUGAACGCUGGCGGCAUGCUUUACACAUUGCAAGUUCGGAACGGCAACACAGACAACCUUUGCUUCUUUGCGUGGCGAGUGGCGAACGGGUUGAGUAACAUAUCAGAACCUACCCACCAUCGUGGGAUAACUAAUCUAAAGAUUAGCUAAUACCGCAUAUUUUUUCUGAUGAAUACAACAGGGGACCCUUUGGCCUGUCUUCUUGUUUGAGCGGCCGAGUAUCUGAUUACCUACUUCGUGGGGUAAAGGCCUACCAAGGCGACGAUCAUUACCGGGUCUCAGACGAUGAUCCUCCACACUGGGACUGAGACACAGCCCAGACUCCUACUGGAGGCAGCAGUGGGGAAUUUUGGACAAUGGGCGCAAGCCUGAUCCAGCCAUGCCGCGUGUCUGAAAAAGGCCUUCGGGUUGUAAAUGACUUUUGUCAUGGAAGAAAAGGGCGGGGUUAAUACCCCUGUCUGAUGACUGUACCUGAACAAUAAACACCGGCUAACUACAUGCCAUCAGCCCCGGUAAUACUUAAGGUGCGAGCGUUAAUCUGAAUUACUGUGCGUAAAGCGGGCGCAUACGGUUACUUAAGCAGGAUGUGAAAUCCCCUGGCUCAACCUGGGAACUGCGUUCUGAACUGGGUGACUACAGUGUGUCAGAGGGAGGUAGAAUUCCACGUGUAGCAGUGAAAUGCGUAGAGAUGAGGAGGAAUACAGAUGGCGAUGGCAGCCUCCUGGGAUAACACUGAGGUUCAGGCCGGAAAGCGUGGGUAGCAAACAGGAUUAGAUACCAUGGUAGUCCACGCCGUAAACGAUGUCCAUUAGCUGUUGGGCAGCAUGACUGGUUAGUAGUGAAGCUAACGCGUGAAAUCGACCGGAUGGGGAGUACGGUCGCAAGAUUAAAACUCAAAGGAAUGGACGGGGACCCGCACAAGCGGUGGAUGAUGAGGAUUAAUUAGAUGGAACGAGAAGAACAUUACCUGGUCUUGACAUGUACGGAACCCUCCAGAGAUGGAGGGGUGCCUUGGGGAGCGGUAACACAGGUGGCGCAUGGCUGUUGUCAGCUCGUGUCGUGAGAUGUUGGGUUAAGUCCCGCAACGAGCGCAACCCUUGUCAUUAGUUGCCAUCAUUAAGUUGGGCACUGUAAUGAGACUGCCGGUGACAAGCCGGAGGAAGGUGGGGAUGACGUCAAGUCCUCAUGGCCCUUAUGUACCAGGGCUUCACACGUCAUACAAUGGUCGGUACAGAGGGUAGGCAAGCCGGGAGGGGGAGCCAAUCUCACAGAACCGAUUGUAGUCGGAAUUGCAUUUUGCAAUUGGAGCGCAGGAAGUGGGAAUGGUUAGUAAUGGCAAGUCAGCAUACUGCGGUGAAUACGUUCCCGGGUCUUGUACACACCGCCCGUCA